rnacentral:tRNA from 1 species
GCGUGAAUGGUUUAGUGGUAAAAUUCUCCGUUGCCAUCGAGCAAAAUCGGGGAGCCCUGGGUUCGAUUCCCAGUUCACGCA